rnacentral:rRNA from 1 species
GGACCCGCACAAGUAGUGGAGCAUGUGGUUUAAUUCGAAGAUACGCGCAGAACCUUACCAACACUUGACAUGUUCGUCGCGACUCUAAGAGAUUAGAGUUUUCGGUUCGGCCGGACGAAACACAGGUGCUGCAUGGUUGUCGUCAGCUCGUGCUGUGAAGUGUCGGGUUAAGUCCCAUAACGAGCGCAACCCCAUUUCUAGUUGCCAGCGGUUCGGCCGGGGACUCUAGAGAAACUGCCAGCGUAAAGCUGUGAGGAAGGUGGGGAUGACGUCAAAUCAUCACGGCCCUUACAUCCUGGGGCCACACACGUGCUACAAUGGUAGGACAACAGGUUGCCAACCCGCGAGGGUGAGCCAAUCCCCAAAACCCCUAUC